rnacentral:lncRNA from 1 species
AUGGCAGACGGCCAGGGUUCAUAUUCCGUCCCGUUUGAAAAGCUCACAACCCAGUCCUGGGAUAUCUGGGUUAGAAGAGUAAGGGGGUGGUUUUUGGCCACAGGGCUCUGGAGUAUAGCCCAGAAGGAGCCGGCACCACCCACACCAGUUGCUGCCGAGGUUGACGCAGCAGGCUUUGAGGCUGCUUUGCUGGAGGAUAGAAAGCAGAGAGUGCAAAGGGAGCUCUGCAUGUUGAAAGCAAGCAUGGACACUUUGCUGUUGGCCCACUUGGAGGGUGUUGAGUCGGCUCACGCUGCCUGGGAGGUGCUGAGGAGUCUGUGUGAAAACUCAGCAGGAAACCAGGGCUGGGAGAAAGCCGAGAGCUCAGAGCAAAGCCCUGAAGUCACAGCCUCAAGGAGAGCUGCAGACAAAGUUGGGGGGGGGGCAGAAAAGACCAAAAGCAAGUUUGUAAAGUUUUCCACUGUGUGUGACGAGGAGGAACGCUGUUUCAGAGGGGGCAGAGCUGGCACAGAGAGCCCAUCCGGUUGCAGAGGGGGGGCCAGGCCAGCUGGAGGCCCAGUUCAGUUUUUUUCCACUUGUCACUGCUUUAUCUGCAAGUCUGCUGACCAUCUGCGUCGCUCCUGCCCCCAGAGAGUCAGAGAUGCCGGGCAGGAUGUCUCCAAGGUCACUUCCCAUGGCAGUCAGCCAGGUUUCCAUGGCAGCCAGUCCAGGAGAGGAAGCCAGCGUGGGAAGGCGCAGGGAGGACGUGACACAGAGAGUGAGAAGGACAGUUCUUAUCACCUAGCCGCCUCCAUGGCAAUGCUAAGGGACAACUCCAGUGAGGAGAGAGUGCUGCGUUGGGUCAUAGACUCUGGAGCCAGCCAUCACCUGAUGCCAGCGCCACCUAGUAGAGAAAUGUGGAACUGCAGGGCUGUUUCAACUGGGAAAACAGUCGUUUUUGCUGAUGGGUCACAGAGACAUUUAACCACUGUUGGAAAUGUGUUUGUUUCUUUCUUGCAGGCGGAGCUGGAGGUCUACGUUGUGCCUGAGAUGAAACAUUGUCUUUUAUCUGUAUCUUGUCUCUUACAGGAGGGGUACAAAGUUUGCUUUGAAAAUGAUGUCUGUUCUAUUUCCAGGGGUGGGAGACAACUGGUCAGUGUUGCAAAAGGGCAGAACAACCUCUUUGUUCUGGAGACACCUCUGGAGAGUGAGGGGGACGCUGAAGAAGCACAGGCGAAGUGUGCAAACGUUCCACCUCAUGAUUCAUGUGCUUGUUUGUGGCACAGGAGAAUGUCACAUGGCUGUUGGGAAGAUAUCCAGAUGUUGCCAGAAUGCACUAAAGGUUGCAAGAUAAAAGCAUGUGACCGAUCCCUAGAUUGUAGGGCAUGCAGAAGGGCAAACGUGAAAGGGUGCAGUUAUCCCAGGUUGGAGAGGGUAACCACAAAGCCUUUUGAGCUUGUACACACAGUCCUUUUUGGACCCAUGCCAAAGCCGAGUCUGGGCGGGGCCAGGUUUGUGCUGACGCUGACAGAUGAUUUUAGCCAAAAUGGCUGGUGCUUCUCGUUGAAGGAGAAAAGCGAGGCAGCGCAACUGAUCAAAGAUUGGGUUGCGGCAGUGGAACUACAGUUUUCCACCAAAGUGCAGGGGUUCAAGAGUGACCGAGGUGCAGAAUUUACUGGGUCUGCUCUGCAGAGUUUCUUCCGCCAGAAGGGAAUAUGUCACAGGUUGACGGUUGCUACUUCUCCUCAGGAGAUUGGUGUGGUGGAGUACAGGAGUAGAACACUGGCUAAAGCUACUGACGUUCUACUGGUGACUCUGGUUUGCCUCAAAGUUUUUGGGGGGAGGCGAUAA